UGCAGUCGAGCGGCAGCGCGGGGGCAACCCUGGCGGCGAGCGGCGAACGGGUGAGUAAUGCAUCGGAACGUGUCCCGUAGUGGGGGAUAACCCGGCGAAAGCCGGACUAAUACCGCAUAUGCUCUACGGAGGAAAGCGGGGGAUUCGCAAGAACCUCGCGCUAUGGGAGCGGCCGAUGUCCGAUUAGCUUGUUGGUGAGGUAAUGGCUUACCAAGGCGACGAUCGGUAGCUGGUCUGAGAGGAUGAUCAGCCACACUGGGACUGAGACACGGCCCAGACUCCUACGGGAGGCAGCAGUGGGGAAUUUUGGACAAUGGGGGCAACCCUGAUCCAGCCAUGCCGCGUGCGGGAAGAAGGCCUUCGGGUUGUAAACCGCUUUUGUCCGGAAAGAAAAGGCGCCACCUAAUACGGGGCGUUCUUGACGGUACCGGAAGAAUAAGCACCGGCUGACUACGUGCCAGCAGCCGCGGUAAUACGUAGGGUGCGAGCGUUAAUCGGAAUUACUGGGCGUAAAGCGUGCGCAGGCGGUCCGCAAAGUCUGAUGUGAAAGCCCCGGGCUCAACCUGGGAACUGCAUUGGAAACUAACGGGCUCGAGUGUGGCAGAGGGGGGUGGAAUUCCACGUGUAGCAGUGAAAUGCGUAGAGAUGUGGAGGAACACCGAUGGCGAAGGCAGCCCCCUGGGCUAACACUGACGCUCA
rnacentral:rRNA from 1 species